rnacentral:rRNA from 1 species
GACGAACGCUGGCGGCGUGCUUAACACAUGCAAGUCGAACGAAGUGGCGAACGGGUGAGUAACGCGUAAUCAACCUGCCCUUCAGAGGGGGACAACAGUAGGAAACGACUGCUAAUACAGCAUCCUGAAGGAGGGGAUUUCGUCGUAUUAGCUGGUUGGAGGGGUAACGGCCCACCAAGGCGAUGAUCCGUAGCCGGUCUGAGAGGAUGAGCGGCCACAGUGGGACUGAGACACGGCCCAGACUCCUACGGGAGGCAGCCGUGGGGAAUCUUCCGCAAUGGACGAAAGUCUGACGGAGCAACGCCGCGUGAGUGAUGAAGGUCUUCGGGUGGUAAAGCUCUGUUAGUCGGGACGCGGUACCGGAAUAGAAAGCCACGGCUAACUAUGUGCCAGCAGCCGCGGUAAUAC